rnacentral:lncRNA from 1 species
AUGGGGGAUUGGGGGGGUGGGGGGAGGCGGCGGGGGCAGGUUGGCUGGCAGGUGAGUGGGUUUACAAAGAGAAACCAUGAAAAGUUUCUCACAAAUCAUUUCAAUCUGUCACCUAUUCUAGCUAAGCUUUUUUUUUUCUUUUUCUUCCAGACGGCUCCAAGAGCUACACAAAGUCUGGCUUAUCACUGUUUGAUAAGGAUCCGGUCCAGUCAAGCCGUGCCAAAGAGAAUUGACAGGUCCGGCAACCUUGUGAAGGAGCACAUCUUGCACUGAAAGUCCCAGGUUUGUAAUUCUAACAAAAUAAUAUAAGAUUUAACCAGCUGUCUUGCAUAGAUAAAUUUGUUGUAAGUGAUGCAAUUUGCUAUAGUAUAGAAAUGUGUAGAUAUUCUAAAUGCUUGCUGUAAAUGUAAAGCCCUUAAAAAUAGCUACGACACAUGAUAAUUCUUACUGUCAUAGAAAUUUUCUUUCAUGCCUUUGAAUCUGUCCACCUCUUUGUAAAAGUCUGC